rnacentral:rRNA from 1 species
CCCUUAGAUGUUCUGGGCCGCACGCGCGCUACACUGACGCAUUCAACGAGUCUAAAACCUGGUCUGAUAGGGCUGGGUAAUCUUUUGAAUGUGCGUCGUGAUUGGGAUAAAUGAUUGUAAUUCUUCAUUUUCAACGAGGAAUGCCUAGUAAACGCAAGUCAUCAGCUUGCAUUGAUUACGUCCCUGCCCUUUGUACACACCGCCCGUCGCUCCUACCGAUUGGGUGUGCUGGUGAAAUGUUCGGAUCGGCCGUUUGUCGCGGUUUCCGCGGCUCGUGGCUGAGAAGUUCAUUAAACCCUCCCACCUAGAGGAAGGAGAAGUCGUAACA